rnacentral:tRNA from 1 species
GGGUGUAGCUCAGUGGUAGAACAUGUGCUUAGAAUGCACAAGGCCCUGGCUGGGUUUGAUCCCCAGCAUCAACA